rnacentral:rRNA from 1 species
GACGAACGCUGGCGGCGUGCUUAACACAUGCAAGUCGAACGAUGAAGAAAAGAAUCGAAGCUUCGGCAGAAAUUCAUUUCGGAUUAGUGGCAGACGGGUGAGUAACGCGUGAGCAACCUACCUCUUACAAAGGGAUAGCCUCGGGAAACCGGGAUUAAUACCAUAUAACAUUGCGACGAAGCAUUUCGAUGCAAUCAAAGCUACGGCGGAAAGAGAUGGGCUCGCGUCCCAUUAACCGGAUGGUGAGGUAACGGCUCACCAUAGUGACGAUGGGUAACCGGCCUGAGAGGGUGAACGGUCACACUGGAACUGAGACACGGUCCAGACUCCUACGGGAGGCAGCAGUGGGGAAUAUUGCACAACGGAGGGAACUCUGAUGCAGCGACGCCGCGUGAGUGAUGAAGGAAUUCGUUUCGUAAAACUCUGUUCUAUGGGAAGAAAAGGACUGUACCAUAGGAGAAAGCUCCGGCUAAAUACGUG